rnacentral:rRNA from 1 species
GAUGAACGCUGGCGGCGUGCCUAAUACAUGCAAGUCGAGCGAACAGACGAGGAGCUUGCUCCUCUGACGUUAGCGGCGCACGGGUGAGUAACACGUGGAUAACCUACCUAUAAUACUGGGAUAACUUCGGGAAACCAGAGCUAAUACCGGAUAAUAUCUUGAACCGCAUGGUUCAAUAGUGAAAGACGGUUUUGCUGUCACUUAUAGCUGGAUCCGCGCCGCAUUAGAUAGUUGUUAAGGUAACGGCUUACCAAGGCUACGAUGCGUAGCCGACCGGAGAGGGUGGUAGGCCACCUGGGAACGGAGACACGGUCCAGACUCCUACGGGAGGCAGCAGUAGGGAAUCUUCCGCAAAGGGCGAAAGCCUGACGGAGCAACGCCGCGUGAGUGAUGAAGGUCUUCGGAUCGUAAAACUCUGUUAUUAGGGAAGAACAAAUGUGUAAGUAACUAUGCACGUCUUGACGGUACCUAAUCAGAAAGCCACGGCUAACUACGUG